GGGGGACGGAGAAGGCUAUGUUGGCCGGGCGACGGUUGUCCCGGUUUAAGCGUGUAGGUGUGUGUUCCAGGUAAAUCCGGUUCACUUUAACACUGAGGCGUGACGACGAGGCACUACGGUGCUGAAGCAACAAAUGCCCUGCUUCCAGGAAAAGCCUCUAAGCAUCAGGUAACACGAAAUCGUACCCCAAACCGACACAGGUGGUCAGGUAGAGAAUACCAAGGCGCUUGAGAGAACUCGGGUGAAGGAACUAGGCAAAAUGGUGCCGUAACUUCGGGAGAAGGCACGCUGACACGUAGGUGAAGUGAUUUACUCAUGGAGCUGAAGUCAGUCGAAGAUACCAGCUGGCUGCAACUGUUUAUUAAAAACACAGCACUGUGCAAACACGAAAGUGGACGUAUACGGUGUGACGCCUGCCCGGUGCCGGAAGGUUAAUUGAUGGGGUCAGCGUAAGCGAAGCUCCUGAUCGAAGCCCCGGUAAACGGCGGCCGUAACUAUAACGGUCCUAAGGUAGCGAAAUUCCUUGUCGGGUAAGUUCCGACCUGCACGAAUGGCGUAAUGAUGGCCAGGCUGUCUCCACCCGAGACUCAGUGAAAUUGAACUCGCUGUGAAGAUGCAGUGUACCCGCGGCAAGACGGAAAGACCCCGUGAACCUUUACUAUAGCUUGACACUGAACAUUGAGCCUUGAUGUGUAGGAUAGGUGGGAGGCUUUGAAGUGUGGACGCCAGUCUGCAUGGAGCCGACCUUGAAAUACCACCCUUUAAUGUUUGAUGUUCUAACGUGGACCCGUAAUCCGGGUUGCGGACAGUGUCUGGUGGGUAGUUUGACUGGGGCGGUCUCCUCCUAAAGAGUAACGGAGGAGCACGAAGGUUGGCUAAUCCUGGUCGGACAUCAGGAGGUUAGUGCAAUGGCAUAAGCCAGCUUGACUGCGAGCGUGACGGCGCGAGCAGGUGCGAAAGCAGGUCAUAGUGAUCCGGUGGUUCUGAAUGGAAGGGCCAUCGCUCAACGGAUAAAAGGUACUCCGGGGAUAACAGGCUGAUACCGCCCAAGAGUUCAUAUCGACGGCGGUGUUUGGCACCUCGAUGUCGGCUCAUCACAUCCUGGGGCUGAAGUAGGUCCCAAGGGUAUGGCUGUUCGCCAUUUAAAGUGGUACGCGAGCUGGGUUUAGAACGUCGUGAGACAGUUCGGUCCCUAUCUGCCGUGGGCGCUGGAGAACUGAGGGGGGCUGCUCCUAGUACGAGAGGACCGGAGUGGACGCAUCACUGGUGUUCGGGUUGUCAUGCCAAUGGCACUGCCCGGUAGCUAAAUGCGGAAGAGAUAAGUGCUGAAAGCAUCUAAGCACGAAACUUGCCCCGA
rnacentral:rRNA from 2 species